CCAUUCCCCAGUCCUAGGCCCUGACGCCCCUGUCCCGGCAGCUCGGGCCUGCAGCCCCGCGGGAAAGCCUCCGGGCCGGCGCGGGAUUCGGCCCCGCAGCGCCGCCGUCCCACCGGAGGCCCUGGGGGACUUGAGGGGGCGAGCGGAGGCCUGGGGUGCAGGGGGCAGGGCGCGGCCGCUGUGGGGCCUACCGGCCCGAGGCCUACCGGCGCACCCCCUCCCUCCGCACACCCCCACCCAGCCCGCGCAGGCCGCGCCGCUCGCCCCGCUCCGGCUCAGGCUGCACCCCUGCCCACCCGCCGUCCCCGUCCGCGGGCGCCCCGGAGGCCCUCAGGCCCCCGGCCUCCACCACCCGGGCGCCGGCCCCACUCACCCUUUCAUUCUCCGCCCGGGGCCUGGCGUGGGCCGGCGAAUCCCCGGCCUCACAUCAGAGUGAGAGGCGCUGGCAAUAGACUAGGAAGCUCGGCUGCCGCUGCUACUGCUCCCCCCUGGGCUCCGGCGAGAGCCUUUCCCUGUCAAGCAAGAGGGCCAAGAAGGCAGGGCUGCCGGGGCUGUACAAGAAGAGGCAGCAGCCUCCUACAGCACCACUACAGGCACUGCGAGGACAUAACACCAGAGAGCUGCUCCUCUGCCCUCCGAAACGACAACUUUCCUACCAUCUUGGAGGCAGAGCAAAGGGGGGCCAGGGGGAAAAGUGCACCCGCUCCCGAUAAAGUACAAAUUUUUACUUCUCAUCUCUGGAAAAAAGUCCACACCGGCCGUCUACACCGGCGCCUGGGGGAAAAAGCAAGGAAGAAACUAGGGGUGCAUGAGAAACGUUUUCAUUUGCUCCAGGGGGAAAAAUGUUUCUGCAUCUUCUGAUGGAAAGAAAUCUUUACAAGACACUGGUUUUCCG
rnacentral:lncRNA from 1 species